GCAGGCAUCGGGCCAAUCUCAGAGGGCGCGCACGCCGCAUCAGGACCCCGGAACCCGCCCCGUUGGGGAUAGGGACAGAUGGAGAAUCCAGCUCAGACCCAGACUUUCAACUAGUGCCAUUUGUGAGUCUCUUUGCUCAACCUCCAUCCCUGGAAGAAUGAACAAGGACUCUAGGCCCUGCAAAUGAACUGACACCUGGGACAAGCAACUCAGCGCAGAAGAGCAAACUUCAAAAUCUUUCCUGCAACAGAAAUGCCACAAUGUUGAAAGGAAUGCAUUACAGUUCC
rnacentral:lncRNA from 1 species